rnacentral:misc_RNA from 1 species
GAUGAAGAACGCAGCAAAAUGCGAUAAGUAGUGUGAAUUGCAGAAUUCAGUGAAUCAUCGAAUCUUUGAACGCACAUUGCGCCCGCCAGUAUUCUGGCGGGCAUGCCUGUUCGAGCGUCAUUUCAACCCUCAAGCACAGCUUGGUGUUGGGACUCGCGUUAAUUCGCGUUCCUCAAAUUGAUUGGCGGUCACGUCGAGCUUCCAUAGCGUAGUAGUAAAACCCUCGUUACUGGUAAUCGUCGCGGCCACGCCGUUAAACCCCAACUUCUGAAUGUUGACCUCGGAUCAGGUAGGAAUACCCGCUGAACUUAAGCAUAUCAAUAAGCGGAGGA